UACGGGGGGGGCAAGCGUUGUUCGGAAUUACUGGGCGUAAAGGGCUCGUAGGCGGCCAAUUAAGUCAGACGUGAAAUCCCUAGGCUUAACCGGGGAACUGCGUCUGAUACUGGAUGGCUUGAGUUCGGGAGAGGGAUGCGGAAUUCCAGGUGUAGCGGUGAAAUGCGUAGAUAUCUGGAGGAACACCGGUGGCGAAGGCGGCAUCCUGGGCCGACACUGACGCUGAGGAGCGAAAGCCAGGGGAGCAAACGGG
rnacentral:rRNA from 1 species